rnacentral:rRNA from 1 species
UACGGGGGGUGCAAGCGUUAAUCGGAAUUACUGGGCGUAAAGGGUGUGUAGGUGGUUUGGUAAGUCAUUUGUAGAAUCCCCGGGCUCAACCUGGGAAUGUCGGAUGAAACUGCAGAACUAGAGUACGGGAGAGGGUAGUGGAAUUUCCGGUGUAGCGGUGAAAUGCGUAGAUAUCGGAAGGAACACCAGUGGCGAAGGCGGCUACCUGGCCUGAUACUGACACUGAGGCACGAAAGCGUGGGGAGCAAACAGG